UUGUCUGUUAAUGUUGAUUUACAAUUUAUCUGACAGCUCUCAAUAAUAGGAAGUACAUGGAUUCAGUACCUAAAUGAAAUUACUUUUUGUUUGUCAAAUAUAGUAAAUAUAAGAAAUUAUGUGUAAGUGACCAUACAUUUGUAUCAAAUUCAAAUAUUUGAUUUGACACAGAUGGUUCAUGCUCUGGUACAUUUUAGUGAAGUCACUCUAAUGUCUUAGAAUUUUUAAAAUUUGUAGACAUCAUCUUAAAAAUUUAAUGCAAGAAGAUAAUAUAUAAAGUCGUGGUUAAAAGAACUGACUCUGGAAUGAGAUCACCUUGUUUUAAACAUUGUUUUACCCAUUACUCAUGGAUAAGUUAUUUUACCUGUUUGCGCCUCAGAUUCUCCAUCUGCAAAAUGGGCAUAAUAUUAGUCCUUAAUAUGGUAUAGGGGUACUGUGCAGUAUGUAGCAAAUAGCCUAUACUGUAUAAAUAUCCAAAAAUAAUAAUUACUCUAUAUAAGUUGACCUUAUUGAGAUGUGUUCAUAAGUUAUGUGAUAAUAAAAUUUAUGCUUGAGAAAAAAUCAUAUAUUUUUAUUGCAAUUAAAGAUGUCUAAAAAAGGUAAUAAAUUUGUAUGUCCUUGUUAAGCCAACAUCAACUUUUAGCCUUCAAGCUUCAAGGAAAAAAGUCACGAUUUUGUUAAAUGGAAGUCCUAAGUAAAAAUAUUCAAAGUCAGCAAAGAGACAUAAGGUGUUCUAAAAUUUUAUUAACCAAAUAUGUACAUUAUAAACUUGGAAAUUUUAGUUUUAUUAAACUUUUAUGGUAAAUUAACUGUCAUUUUUCACUGAAUAAAAAUGUACAAAUAUAUUUGCUUAUAUAAAUUGACUUUAGAUAAUGCUAUCAGUAUAUUCCUUCUGAUGUCAUGUGUAAAUAUUUUUAACACCUCACAGAGCAUCCAAGUAGGAGAUAAGAUUCACUGAGACCAGCUUCUAGUGUGAACAUUUUUUCAAGUGCAUGUCCUCUGCCAAUUCAUCACACCAGAAAGUCAAUGAAAGGAGGGAUUUGUUGGUAGGCAUUAGACACCAAUAUCUGGGCACUGUAGCAGAAUGUACUAAAGGAUUUGAAGUGAAGGAAAUUGUCAUUUAGUGUGAAUUGUUCUCAGCUAUGGGAAUAGUCACCUGGAUACUAUUUUUUGCCUUACACAUCCUUUCUAUGUCUUUUUGAUUAGGCUAUAAAUCUCACUCUCUCAUCUACUAUGAAGAUUGAUUUUCUUUUAUUGUUUUGUCAGUUUAUGUUUUUAUCUAUCUUUUCUUCAUAAUGAUAAUUCUGUGAAAGGCAGAUGUGCUUAAUUCCAUUGUUUUUAAGCAUAGGUCACAGCUACAACUUGAGUUAAAUCCCUGGCCCAGAGACUUCCAUAUGCCGUGGGUAUGGCAAAUAAAAAAAAAAAAAAAUGAUUUUCUUAAAAUAUAGGGUAAAUUAUCAGUCAGAAGAGGAUAAAAUCAUAGGACUAAUGGAAUGUAGUUUGUACAGGGAGCUCUUGUUUUUAACCAUCUUAGUAUAUGAUGACCUUGAAUUAUACUGGAUUCCUCAGCUCUGUCCCCGUAUGAUAUGUAGCAAUGGACUCUGUUGUUUCAAUGAAGGGGAAAAAAAUGAAAUAAAAGAAUGGGGAAGCGAAUCUAUGACAGAGUUUUUUUUUAUUUUUUAUUUAUUUAUUUUUUUAAAUUUUUUUAUUUUCCCACUGUACAGCAAGGGGGUCAGGUUAUCCUUACAUGUAUACAUUACAAUUACAUUUUUCCCCCACCUUUCUUCUGUUGCAACAUGAGUAUCUAAACAAAGUUCUCAAUGCUAUUCAGCAGGAUCCCUUGUAAAUCUAUUCUAAGUUGUGUCUGAUAAGUCCAAGCUCCCGAUCCCUCCCACUCCCUCCCCCUCCCAUCAGGCAGCCACAAGUCUCUUCUCCAAGUCCAUGAUUUUCUUUCUGAGGAGAUAUUCAUUUGUGCUGGAUAUUAGAUUCCAGUUAUAGUGAUAUCAUAUGGUAUUUGUCUUUGUCUUUCUAGCUCAUUUCACUCAGUAUGAGAUUCUCUAGUUCCAUCCAUGUUGCUGCAUAUAGCAUUAUGUCAUUUUUUUUUAUGGCUGAGUAGUAUUCCAUUGUGUAUAUAUACCACAUCUUCUAAUCCAAUCAUCUGUCGAUGGACAUUUGGGUUGUUUCCAUGUCCUGGCUAUUGUGAAUAGGGCUGCAAUGAACAUGCGGGUGCACGUGUCUCUUUUAAGUAGAGUUUUGUCCGGAUAGAUGCCCAAGAGUGGGAUUGCGGGGUCAUAUGGAAGUUCUAUGUAUAGAUUUCUAAGGUAUCUCCAAACUGUUCUCCGUAGUGGCUGUACCAGUUUACAUUCCCACCAGCAGUGCAGGAGGGUUCCCUUUUCUCCACAGCCCCUCCAGCACUUGUUAUUUGUGGAUUUAUUAAUGAUGGCCAUUCUGACUGUGUGAGGUGGUAUCUCAUGGUAGUUUUGAUUUGCAUUUCUCUUAUAAUCAGCGAUGUUGAGCCUUUUUUCAUGUGUUUGUUGGCCAUCUGUAUAUCUUCUUUAGAGAAAUGUCUAUUCAGGUCUUUUGCCCAUUUUUCCAUUGAUUGAUUGGCUUUUUUGCUGUUGGGUUGUAUAAGUUGCUUAUAUAUUCUAGAGAUUAAGCCCUUGUCAGUUGCAUCAUUUGAAACUAUUUUCUCCCAUUCUGUAAGUUGUCUUCUUGUUUUCUUUUUGGUUUCCUUUGCUGUGCAAAGCUUUUCAGUUUGAUGAGGUCCCAUGGGUUUAUUUUUGCUCUAAUUUCUAUUGCUUUGGGAGACUGACCUGAGAAAAUAUUCAUGAUGUUGAUGUCAGAGACUCAGGAUCUGUCAUUGCUGUGGCUGUGGUGUGGGUUCCAGUUGCAGUUCCCAUUUGACCCUUAGCCUGGGAACUUCCAUAUGCCACAGAUGUGGCCAUGAAAAGCCAAAAAAAGAAAAAAGAGAGAGAGAGCACAUUGUGUCUAUAAAGUUUUAUUGAAACAAUCACAUCAAAUCACUUAUGUAUGGUCUAUGGCUGCUCUCAUGCUGCAACAGCAGAGUUGAACUGUUGCAGUACACAGUAUUACCUAGAAUAUUUAUCAUUUGAAUCUUCUGAGAAAAAAUGUACUGAUUUGUAAUGUAGAGUAAUACUAGUUAUAGCCCAGCUUAGAACAUUCAUUUCAAUAGAACAGGAUACUUAUUUUCAAUGUGCCCCUGAAAUGGUAUAUCUACAAGUAAUAUUCAUAUGUAUUAUUAUCUGUAUUAUAAUACUGAUAUUGAUUAUGAUGUUUCUGGUGAUAUUUUUAUCUAUUCUGCAGUUUCCUAUUGACUAGGAACUUUCUAGGUCCCAUUUUUUUCCAUCAUAAAGGAAUAUUUUAGUCCUUCAGCAAUAAACUUUUGCAUGCAGUCAUUCAGUUAUUCAAGUUUUGGGUUUUUUUUUUUUUUUUUUUUUUUUUUUUUUUUUGCUUUUUGGGGCCCCACCUGUGGUGUAUGGACUUUCCCAGGCUAGGGGUGGAAUCUGAGCUGCAGCCACCAGCCUACACCACAGUCACAGCAACAAGGGAUCUGAGCCCUGUCUGCAGUCUACACCACAGCUCAUAGCAAUGCCAGAUCCUUAACCCACCAAAGAGGCUAGGGAUCGAACCUGCAUCUCACGGACACUAGGCAGGUUCUUAACCCACUGAGCCACAAUGCGAAUCCCUCAAGUUGUUAAUUCUGAUAGGAAUUAAAAAUAGGUUUUUCUGGAAUUCCCAUAGUGGCUCAGUGGAAACGCAUCCAACUAGGAACCAUGAGGUUGCAGGUUCAAUCCCUGGCCUCACUCAGUGGGUUAAGGAUUCAGUGUUGCUGUGAGCUGUGGUGUAGGUCACAGACACGGCUUGGAUCUGGCACUGCUGUGGCUGUGGCAUAGGCCAGCAGCUACAGCUCCGAUUAGACCCCUAGCCUGGGAACCUACAUAUGCCGUGGGUGUGGCCCUAAAAAGCAAAAAAUAAAUUAGAAAUAAAAAUAAAAAGAGGUUUUUCUUCAAGAAGCAGUCUGCUUCCAUUUUUAGUGACAAAAUUAUUGGGUGACCUUGAAAGCAGUUUUGGGUUUUUGUCUGAAUGCUUUUAAAAGUGUGGGGUAGAACAACUUUUUAAAGUAACCUCAUUCUGUCUUUUUGGUAUUGAAUCAAAUGAGUUACAGGAAUUGUACCUCAUUACCCAGGGGAUCAGGUAAACUCCGUUAAAGUGAGUCAUGUUUUUGUUGGCUAGCUAACAAACUGUGGGCUCUAAUAAAAGUUGGCACAAUUGGCCCAACUUUAUUCCAUUAUGUGGAAUAUUUUAAAGUAUACAAAAUUUAGAAAUCAUGUAGAUCUAGAAAUUAAAUUAAUUAGAAGUCAAAUUACCAGUAGAAUAACAUUACAUAUUUGUCCUUGUACCUUUUAUUUACCAAUUAGAUGUCCAAAAGUUGACUUUUAUGAAAAAUGGCACAGUUUGCAAAUGAUAGCCGAUGUGAGCUGGAAGCUUGUUAGGAAUGAUGUCUGAAUUAAUAUUCUCUUGGCACCAAAAAUGUGCCAUUCAUAUCUUUUCAUUUGUAACACUAAUUACAUGUAAUAAUUCUAGGUUUUAGUUUUAAAAAGAAGCCUUCAUGUAUAGGGUACUGUAGAACUAUUCAGUUCAUAUGUCAACCCUGAUUAAAACUUAUCUCACAACUCAUUAAAAUCUGGCUCAACUGUUUAACAUCUCUUACAGCAGUAUACCUUUAGAUGAAAAACAUGGAACCCUCAGUUUUUUCCCUUUUCAGAUUUUGUUGUCUAAUUAAUGGAAACCAUUAAUUUGAGGGGAUGAAUAAAAAAUGGAAUGAAUAGUAUAGGCUUUGUGUAAUUCUCUAAAGGUUUUUUUACACCAUAAUCAAGGUCAAAAAAUGCUUUUGCAAAAGUUCUGAGCUGAUAGACUGUAUAUUUAGAAUCAUUAAAUCUUUGGAAACUAGUAAAAUAAAACGUAUAAUGAGGAUAAAAUUAAAUGGAUGAUAGAAUGCAACUUUAAUGACUCAGAAAAAAAAAUCCUGAUUCUAGUCCCUAAGUCCAUGCUAGUCAAAGGAAAUAAAAUUCUUCACUUUUUAAAAAAUUUAUCAAGAAAAAGUAAUGAAUUAAGAUGCUUUAAAAUUCUAUCCAAUUUGUAAUGUGGUGAUAGAAAUUUGUUGAAGAAGUGGUUUUAGUAGAUGUUAUAAAUAUAUAUGAUAUGGAAUACUGAGUCUUUUGUUUUUCAGAGAAAAAUUAAGAGAAAAUAUGAUUGGCUAAGCAACUGAGAAAAAAAUAUACAUCCUUCCAUGAGAGCAGAAGGGUGAGAACUGCUGUCUUCAUAUCAAUACCAAAGUGGUUUUCCUUACAUUGCAGAAGAAAACUUUGAAAAAAUGUAGACAAAAGCCUCACUCAGAUGGAUGGGUCUUAGUUCAUUCAGGCAAAUUACUACAGACUGUCUUAUACAAAAAAAAUAUUUAUUUCUCACAGUUGUGGAGACUGAAAAGUCUAAUAUCAGGGGUUGACACAGUCAGUAUCUGGUGAGAGCUGCUUCUUGGUUCACGGAUAGCAGUCUUCUUUCUCUGUCCUCACUUUUCAGAAUGAGGUCUCUUUUACUGGGCACUUACCUCAUUUUGAGCGGCUCCCAUGAUCUAAUCACCUCUAAAGGCAUUACAUCAUACUGGGGAUUAGGAUUUCAACAUAUGAAUUGGGGCAGAGGGGCAACACACACUUUCAGCAUAUAACAGGGUGAUAAUAACCCUGAAGAUGAUUCACAGUGAAGCCAAUGCCUUACCUAUGUCAUCUAAAUUAGAGAUUAAAACUAAUAAUAAAGAGGUUAAAAUGAUGAUUAGAGGUGAAAACUAGAGGUAAUGGUUUAAGUUAUUGUUUUAAAGAGACAUGAACAAAUUUUACUACUUGUUGAUUUGUCCUGAAAACCUCCAUCAAGGAAUUUUAGAUAUAUUUUAGGCUGGUCAUGAUUUAGUUCCUGCUCCUGUUUCUGUAUUUAACCAUAAAGAGGAAACUACUUGUAUAUGGAGUCUCCUAAUGAGCUCACAUUUUGAUACCUGUCAUGAAUUAUCCUUUCAGCUGAAAUUCUAGUAGGAUCUGGAAUCUGUAGUGCUUUAAUGGAAAAACCUAUCUUGGAACUUGAUACAAUAGAUACCAACACCCUGUCCUCAUUCUGAGAUUGCUCCUAGGACUUAUUAUGCAUUAAAAAAAAAAAA
rnacentral:lncRNA from 9 species